GACGUAGGGCGCGAGCGUUGUCCGGAUUUAUUGGGCGUAAAGAGCUCGUAGGCGGCUUGUCGCGUCGACUGUGAAAUCCCGUGGCUCAACUGCGGGCUUGCAGCCGAUACGGGCAGGCUAGAGUUCGGUAGGGGAGACUGGAAUUCCUGGUGUAGCGGUGAAAUGCGCAGAUAUCAGGAGGAACACCGGUGGCGAAGGCGGGUCUCUGGGCCGAUACUGACGCUGGAGGAGCG
rnacentral:rRNA from 1 species